UACAGAGGUCUCAAGCGUUGUUCGGAUUCAUUGGGCGUAAAGGGUGCGUAGGUGGCGCUGUAAGUCGGGUGUGAAAUUUCGGAGCUUAACUCCGAAACUGCAUUCGAUACUGCGGUGCUUGAGGACUGGAGAGGAGACUGGAAUUCAUGGUGUAGCAGUGAAAGGCGUAGAGAUCAUGAGGAAGACCAGUGGCGAAGGCGGGUCUCUGGACAGUUCCUGACACUGAGGCACGAAGGCCAGGGGAGCAAACAGG
rnacentral:rRNA from 1 species